CCGCACGCGUCGGGAGAGCGCGUGGCCGCUGGUUUUCGCGUGCCGCGCCGCCGAAGGGGCACACCCACAAACUCUCAGGCAAAAGGACCGGCCGCGUCGAA
rnacentral:ncRNA from 2 species